GACCAUUCAAAGAAGACGCCGUGCCAUUUAAACUAUGUUCUGAAGGAAUUUUGGUUUCAGAGGGUGCUUCUACUAAAACUUCGUCCUCUGGAAUCUUCAAUAUUCCUUCAGUUGAACCCAUGAUUGUUUAGGAACACAAAUGAACUCAGUGCUGGCAUACUACAUGAAGAGCAUCCAUAGAACCCUUCAAAAGCAAAGAACAUCCCAUAGAUACUAUGAAGGAGAUUAACAUGAAGAGAUCAUGGAACAAGAAGUCACGGUGAUGAUUUUCCUUGCGAACUGGGCAUGAUACAUAUAUGCUCAAGAAGAUCAUGGAGCAACAAGUGCAGGUCAUCUCAUACCAGUUAGGCUGCCAUGGCAUCUUCCGGCACAUUCGACGAUCUAUACAAUGGGGAAGGUGUCACAAAAGUCAAUGUUUCUUCAGGACAUCAAAAGGUUUGCUGAAUCUAAUCGAGUGAAAGGAGCAACACGAUGAAAGUAACUUCUCCUCUGAUAUAAUGGUUUUGUGUUAAGUCCAGGUAUAGGAUCACCAACAGUUUGUAAACCUCAUAUACUUCACCAUGAGCUCACUGUUUAAACAUCCAGAAGUAUGGUAGCCUUGACACCUGCUGACAUUGCUCAUAGAGGGCCUAGUUUCUGAAGACUGCAGAGCCACAGGUACAGAUAAAGGAGGUGCAUGCCCCCUGAAUAUUCAAUCAGUCAAGUGGCUGCUGAUGACAGUGAUCUGCAGCAAAAGAAUUCCACAUGAUCAACUACUUUGGAGAAGGAAAAUACCAAGUUGGCAAAUCCAAAGUGCCAUGCUGGAUCCAGCACUCCAGCUACUGAUCAAACAAUCCAAAGUUAAUCCUGUCAAAGUUAAGAAAUCCACCGGCCGUCACCUGCAGUGCUGCUUUCAGAGACUAAACCAGAUGAUUUUCUGAAAACCAGAGGCAGGUGGUGUUUAUGUCAUGUAUUAUUCCAUCAUUAUCACUGCGCCGAAAGAGAGAAAUCAAUGGAGAUAGCCAUGCGAAGAUGAUGUCAUGGAUGCUUGGAAAUACUUAUCAUCAGCCUCUAUCAGAGAUGAGUCAGCAUCGUACGCAGCCCAUAUCAUUGGCUGGAAAUAUUGUUCAGAGGUUGAUGUUUUGUUUCCUGGCACUGUUUUCUUUUGCUCCCUGGAAUAUAUAUAGCCGUCACCCUGUGGUCCCACUCCCACCGUCUAUGUACAUGUCAAUGUGUUGCUGCUAAUUAACUAGCACAGCACCAUCUCCAUAAGCUUUUUUGCAUUUGUGAAAACAAAAAUUCUGAUCAUGCAAAACAGAAAAGAAAAAUGAGGAAAUGUUAGGUCCAGAAAGAAAGAAAGGAGCUAGUGUUUUUCUUGAGAGAAAAAAAAAAGGAAAAUAUUGGAUGAAAGGAACAAGAGUAUAGAAUAUA